UACGGGGGGGCAAGCGUUGUUCGGAAUUACUGGGCGUAAAGGGCUCGUAGGUGGCCAACUAAGUCAGACGUGAAAUCCCUCGGCUUAACCGGGGAACUGCGUCUGAUACUGGAUGGCUUGAGUUCGGGAGAGGGAUGCGGAAUUCCAGGUGUAGCGGUGAAAUGCGUAGAUAAUCUGGAGGAACACCGGUGGCGAAGGCGGCAUCCUGGACCGACACUGACACUGAGGAGCGAAAGCCAGGGAGCAAACGGG
rnacentral:rRNA from 1 species